rnacentral:rRNA from 1 species
CCUACGAGAGGCAGCAGUGGGGAAUAUUGGGCAAUGGGCGCAAGCCUGACCCAGCAACGCCGCGUGAAGGAAGAAGGCUUUCGGGUUGUAAACUUCUUUUAAGAGGGAAGAGCAGCAGACGGUACCUCUUGCAUAAGCCACGGCUCACUACGUGCCAGCAGCCGCGGUAAUACGUAGGUGGCAAGCGUUGUCCGGAUUUACUGGGUGUAAAGGGCGUGUAGCCGGGCUGCCAAGUCAGAUGUGAAAUUCCGGGGCUCAACCCCGGACCUGCGUUUGAAACUGUUGGUCUUGAGUAACGGAGAAGGAGGCGGAAGUGCUAGUGUAGCGGUGACAGGCGUCGAUAUUAGGAGGAAGGCCAGUGGCGAAGGCGGCCUGGUGGAGGACAACUGACGGGGAGGCGCGAAAGCGUGGGGAGCAAACAGGAGUAGAUACCCUAGUAGUC